GAUCUGAAUCAUAGAAGAGUGAUUGAUUAUCUUCACUUGACUAAUAAUAUGCCAUGUGAGGUUGACACUCAGACACUUACUUUUUGGCCAAAGCUUAAAUUUUCUGGCAUGUAGAGAAUGAUUUCUUGCUCUCACUUAAUUGAUGGGUGUCAUUCCUUGGUUCCAUAUAGAGUGUGCAGGAAUACCACCUCGUACAUGAGAAUUACUCUUGAUACAUGAAAGCCUGCUGGUUUGAACUUUUGAGCUUACAAAGGGCAACAAAGUUUUUAGAUUGCAAUUCUACUCUCAAAAUAUCGGACAUAUGUCCACAACUUCAAGUGAAUAAGCCCUGCUUUCGCCAAUUUUUUUUCUAGAUAUGUUUUAGCAAUAGGUUUAUGUGUUGAGUGUAGUGUCUCAUUGCCUGAUAAGCGGAGGGAUUUAAGAGCCAAAGUUGGGUGUAAAUUACCAGCCCAAACUGCCUAUCAGAUCUGCUGCCAAGUUGACAAUGUGCCAAAUAAAAAAAUAUUUUAAAGGGUUGUAAAGAAACCCUUCCCUGAAGAAGAUGCUGGACGAAUGUAAAGAAAGUUAUUUAGUGAAAAGUGAUACUAGGAGGAAAACAAAGAGGUACUUCAUAAAAAGAAUAAAAGUAAAUAAAACGGAGAAAGCAAAAUGACAGAAGAAAGCUUGGAGGUUGAAAAGAAAUGUAUAAGCACACCAUUGAACAUAGUGCUGCCAUAAUCAUCCCCAGCCAGAAAAUAUUCGAGCGUAUAAAUAAUGCCUUAAAUCGUCGA
rnacentral:lncRNA from 1 species